CCUAGGGUGGCAGCAGUGGGGAAUAUUGGACAAUGGGCGAAAGCCUGAUCCAGCCAUGCCGCGUGUGUGAAGAAGGCCUUCGGGUUGUAAAGCACUUUCAGUGGGGAAGAAAGCCUUGGGGCUAAUACCCUCGAGGAAGGACAUCACCCACAGAAGAAGCACCGGCUAACUCCGUGCCAGCAGCCGCGGUAAUACGGAGGGUGCGAGCGAUUAAUCGGAAUUACUGGGCGUAAAGCGCGCGUAGGCGGUCUGAUAAGCCGGUUGUGAAAGCCCCGGGCUCAACCUGGGAACGGCAUCCGGAACGGUCAGGUAGGAGGGCAGGGGAGGAAGGGAAAAUCCCCGGUGAAGGGGUGAAAGGCGUAGGGAGCGGGAGGAAUCCCAGGGGGGAAGGGGGCCUUCUGGCCUGACACGGACGCUGAGGUGCGAAAGGGUGGGUAGCAAACAGGAUUAGAUACCCUUGUAGUC
rnacentral:rRNA from 1 species